rnacentral:rRNA from 1 species
AAUGAACGCUGGCGGCGCGCCUAAUACAUGCAAGUCGAGCGAGAAGACGUAGCAAUACGUUUGUAAAGCGGCGAACGGGUGAGGAAUACAUGGGUAACCUACCCUCGAGUGGGGAAUAACUAGCCGAAAGGUUAGCUAAUACCGCGUACGCUCCUUGGACUUCGGUUCAGGGAGGGAAAGCGAUACCGUGGGUAUCGCGCUCUUGGUUGGGCUCAUGUCCUAUCAGCUUGUUGGUGAGGUAACGGCUCACCAAGGCUUCGACGGGUAGCUGGUCUGAGAGGACGAUCAGCCACACUGGCACUGCGACACGGGCCAGACUCCUACGGGAGGCAGCAGUAAGGAAUAUUGCGCAAUGGGCGAAAGCCUGACGCAGCGACGCCGCGUGGGGG